GAAAAAAGAAUUAUUUAUUUAUUUUGUUUAAUUAUUAUUUAAUAUAAAUAAAUUUAGUUAUAUUUUUUUUUGUAAAUUUUAUUGAUAAAAUAAUUUUUAUUAUAGUAAAUUAGUAUUGAAGAAGAAGUUUGAAAAAUUAAUUAUUUAUAUGUAAGUAAUAUUAAUUUUAUGUACCUUUUGUAUCAGGGUUUAUUAAUUAAAAUUUAAUGAAUUUAAAAUUCUCGAAUUAAAAGGAGCUAAUUAAAUAUGAUAUUUUUUGUUUUAUAACAAUUAUAAAUAUUUAUUUAGAAAUGAAAUGUUAUUCGUCUUUUAAAAUAUCUAGUUUUUUAAGAAAUAAAUUUAAUUUAUAUAUUAAUUAUAUAACAAUUUAAUUUAUAAAUAUGUUAUUAAUUAAUAUAAAUAUAUUAAGGGAUAAGCUUUAAUUUAUUAUAUUAUAAUUUAUAGUAAUUUAUAUUAAUUGUAGAUUUAGAAAUAGUUAUCAAUAAAAAUUUUGUAUUAAUUUAUAAAGGUUAAAAAAAUAUUUAUUGUAAAUUUAAUUAUAGUAUUAAAAUAUAAUUUUUAAUAAUAAAAAUUUAGUAAUAAUGAUAAAAUUAGUAUAAAUAGAAUGUUUAAAUUUAUUAUUUUAAAAAAAUUAAUUUAAGGAAUUCGGCAAAAAUAAUGUUCACCUGUUUAACAAAAACAUGUCUUUUAGAUUAUAAUUUAAAGUCUAACCUGCCCACUGAAAUUUUUGAAGGGCCGCGGUAUUUUGACUGUGCAAAGGUAGCAUAAUCAUUAGUCUUUUAAUUGAAGGCUUGUAUGAAUGGUUGGAUGAAACAUUAACUGUCUCAAAUUAAUAUUUAGAAAUUAAUUUUUAAGUUAAAAAGCUUAAAUAAAGUAAUAGGACGAGAAGACCCUAUAGAUCUUGAUAAUUAAUAAUUUAAUUAUAUUUUAGUUAAAUAUACAUUUUUAUUUUAAAAAUUAUUGUAUUGGGGUGAUAAAUAAAUUUAGUAAACUUUAUAAUAAAAAAACAUUAAUUUAUGAAUAUUUGAUCCAUUAAUAAUGAUUAAAAGAUUAAGUUACCUUAGGGAUAACAGCGUAAUUUUUUUAGAGAGUUCAGAUCGAUAAAAGAGUUUGCGACCUCGAUGUUGAAUUAAAGAUUAGUUUAGGUGUAGAAGUUUAAAUUUUUGGUCUGUUCGACCAUUAAAUCUUUACAUGAUUUGAGUUCAAACCGGCGUGAGCCAGGUUGGUUUCUAUCCUUUAUUAUUAAAAAUAUUUUAGUACGAAAGGACCAAAUAUUUAAAAAAAUUUUUAUGAUAUGAAGAAAAUUAAU
rnacentral:rRNA from 1 species